CGCCCCGCGGCGGGGAAGAGGGGGAAGGUGGGCUGCGAGCGGCCGCUCGCAGCCCACCUUCCCCCUCUUCCCCGCCGCGGGGCGAGGCCGCCGGGCGACACUUCAGCACCACAUCGGCCCUGAACAGCAGCGGGAACGGCGGCGGCGGUGCCUGCCCCCCCGCCGUUUGCCUUCCCGCCCUCGCGGUCCCCUCAGGUUGCAGGGAAGAUGUUAUGAUUCCCUUCACCCUUCAGCCGACAAUUUUUGAACUACAGAAAAUGCAGAAGUAAGUUCAUUAACGAUAUCCACCCAAUGAAAUUCAAGAUGUGAAGUGUUUUGACUAGCGCUGUUCAAAUAGAGGAAUCACUCAGGAGUAUAUUGCAAUCAGUGCAUUCAGAUAAGAUCCCAGAGCAUUGGAUUUCCGGAGCAUUGAUUAUAGAUUAGCAUUCUGCUGCUUCAGAAACGGAGUCCGCAGUCCCUGUAUAAAACAGGAGAGCCAACGGAUAGGGAUGGACUCAUGAUGGAGAAGUGAGGAACACCAGAAAAUACGGGUGUGCAGCACAAUCCCCAGUGCCACGGCCAGCUGAGCAUCAGCAAGCAUUUUGCAUGCACCAGAAUAUCACAGUACGCACUUUUUUUCCAGAGGCUGCAUUUUCCCCGUGGCACUGGGGCUUCCCCGCUGCCCCCCAGGACUUCGCCUUGCUGACCGUGCACGGAGCAUUUUUUUUGGCGAAGCUGCAAAUGUGGAAACCUCGUGCGGUCGGUCAAAGCAAAUUCAUUCAAAGUGAAUGAGUGCAUGCCAAGUUUCUUUUUUUUUUUCAUUCUUUUUGGCUGUAUUCACAGAACACAAAUCUGUGUGCAGGAAUGGGAGCCGUGUUUCUAAUUUGGUAUGAAACUUUUAUUCCCACUUGGCGCAGAGCAGUUGUGAGUGAUGGAGGCUGUUCCUAAUCCUCUGCCCUGUGCAUUGAAAAUGUGCUCUGGCCAGCCGGCGCUCUUGGACAUGGAGUAAUUUGCAUUGCGUAGCGAUUUUGGGGAGAUAAAUACAAGGUUCAGUGCUUGUAGGGACAAGGACGUGGCAUCCUUACUGUAUAGUGUGCAACCAGAAAGCAAAGACAGCAGUGAAGCAACACGAAAAGUCUGGAUUUCAGGAGCUUGUUUUACUAGCGAUGGGGAACUACAGGACUUCCAGAUUGCAGAGGAGAGAAGUUGGAAAGCAGUAAGAAGAGCUCUGCACGCUGCCUGCCAGCCUGGCACAGUGGGAACGAGCUCCUGCUCCUUCACCAGCCCGGCUCCACAGAGCAAUUCAAUCCCUUCUGCACCGCUGAACUGAGGAGAGCCGGCAUAGCAUCUUCUCCGAGCUGCUCGGAGCGUGCGUCCCUCCUUACACAGCCAAGACGCUGGUGUGACGCCGUUAAAUAACAGCCUGGGAGAAGAAGCGGGGAGCUGAGCUGCAAGGAAAUGUAUGUAGGAGAGAGAAGGGUCGGGGCGAGGAUAGCAGGGCUGUGAUUAUGUGCCAGAAAUCUGUUUGAGACCCAGGGGCAGCAAGUUACGAUAAGAAAAAGCCUCAUGUGUGGAUGUUAUUCCUCUGUUGGGGAUGCACCUCUUGCAUCACCCCAGGCCACGAGCCAGGCAUUUUCAUGUGCCACCUGCAAGCGCAUCGCGCAGAGAGCAAGGCAUGCCGAUGGGCAUGUCCUGUGUGCCCACAGGACCCUCUGAAUUACCAAGCCGAUGGGUUUGCUGCCUGACCCACUGCUCUUCACCGCUCCCACUGGCCAGAAAACACCACACGGAGUGAGGGGCUCGAAGCGAUGCCAGAGCCGGGGUGGGAGGGGAAGGCGCCCACGGAGAUGCAGGGUCUGACAUGGGGCAUCUCCCGGGGGUGGGAGCCGCCCGGCCUGGCUGGCAUGUGUGUGAUGCUGGUUUCCAUGGAAACCCAGCAAAAGAUGUGCUGCCAGCGAGGCAGCAUGGACCACUGCAUGGCCUCUAGUCCCCACUUCGGUGGCAGAGGAGGGGACCGUAGGGCAGAGGGAACAUGUGGACUUGCUUUGGGGUGAGCUACCCUGGAGCACGUGCCCCGUGUUGUCUUUGGGGGUGCUGCUGUGUGCUGUGCUGCCCUUUGGGAGUGCUGCCCUGGAGGGAGAGGGAGGUCGCUGUGAUUUAUUCCCCACUUGGGGUGUGCUGGGGAAUUGCAGGGGUGUCCCAUGGGGUUUCGGAGGGGUGGUGGGGGCACCCUGGGAAUGCAGAGGGAAGCCCUGACACGUCCCUGGGAUGCUCAGGCCCUGGCUGAGAUUGGAGCAGGGCCCAGACAGGCUCCCCGGGCUAUCAAGGAGGAGAAGUCAGGCUGCUUCAUGGGUUUUUCAGGGUGUCUCUGUUUUUCCUUCCUCUAAGGGCUGCUCAGAUUUUAAUAUUUCAUUAAAUUGCAUUGCAAUUUUCUCUCCAUGGCCAACAGAGAGAGCACAGCAUCUCUAGGAGGUGAUUCAUCCUGUCCGGAGGCAGGUAGCGAGACCCAUGUCCUAGAUAUCUCCAUCGGCCCUGGUGCAGGCAAGACAUCCACCUCUUGGAGAUGCAAUGUCCCAAGCCCAAAGGCUUUGAGCUGCCCAUGCCAAUGCAGUGCGGGAGAUGCAGCAAAAAAAGGGUGGAGGGGAUUUCUCCUGCCUCAUUUCUGCUGCAAAGCUUCGCAGCUGAACUGCUCUCAUAGAAGGCAGCUUGGGUUGGUGGAGGAAGGAGGGAGGCAGGAUUUGGCCCACAGGGUCAUGUCCCCCCACGCUGGGCAGCUGGAAGCCGAUGGCCACAGAUGGGAUCAGUCACUCUGGGCUUAUUUUAUUGUCCCAGGAGGAAAGUGGUGUGAAUCAGCGCAUCUGAACACAGAGGUGUGCUAAGGUGGCUGCUGUACCUUGUGCUGCCUGGGGCUCUCUUCUGGCUACAUGCUUUACAAGGGACCACGGGGCUUGGGGGUAGAAAUCCAACUUUUAGGCACUGAGAGUUAGCUGAGCUGAGCCUAUGACCAUCCUGCACAGCCAGAGUGCAGCACCCAGUUGCACUACAAACAGGUGCAUCAUGUCCUAAAACCAGAAAGUGAACUGCCAGGAGGAGGACCCCAGGCAUCAUGACACCCAGCCCAGGGAUCUCACUGCUUCGCCCACCCUUCCUUAGAAACCUGGGCUCCUCCUGCCCCCCUAUGCUGUACAUCCCCCUCUCUCUGUGUCCUGGGGCUUGAUCCUCCCAUUCCCUAGGACUGCUGGUUCCCAGUGGAAAACCUGCCUGCAGGGAGCGGUACCCGCUCUGACACCCGCCAGUGUCCGCAAGGAAGGAGAGCACCUAACAAGGAUGCUCUUCAAGGUCGUAAUACGGAGUAGAUGCUCUGUGCUAGUGUUAAAUUACGUGUCAGUGCAGAGGCAGCACUUCCAGCAGGUGAGGGCUGGGAACGCUGGUGUCACACACCACUGGGCCAGCCGGGGCGUGCGGGGAUGGUGAAGCUGUGGCCGUGCCCGUGCCCGUGCUCUUGGCUUGGUGGUGCUGCCUUUCCUGGGGUCUCCUCCAGCCCCGUGCUAGGACCAGGGACCAGAACCAGCCUGGCAAUGCAUUCGUUCGCCAAGAGCCUCAGCUGCAGAACGGGGCUCAUCUUCAUCCUCCUCAAUACUGUUUCCCUCUAUCCCAGCUGAGUGCCCUAGUUGCAAGGCUGUUAGCUAGGCUGGAAGGGGCUUUGCUUGUUCUGUGAAAAAUGGCCAUGAUGCAGCUGUCAUAUGCAAUGGAAUUUUUUUUAAGUAUUUUCUGGGUGGGAUGCGAUCUUUUCCCCAACUCCAGCAGAACUUCCUCAUUCCUCCCGCCCUCCACCUGAGGAUGCUAGGAGGCUUUCAGCCAUCUCUCAGCCUUUGCUGGCAUAACUCCCAUCACGCCGGUGCUUGUGGGCAUUGGUUUCAGUGCCCAGAUUUCCAUCAGCUGUGACCACAAGCUUAGGCAUCUGACAACUGGACAGGAGAGAGUUUUGAGGAAAAUAACAUUGAUGUAGGUGAAUGCAGAUGACGGCUGGCUCUGCAUGUCCUAGCUCCUGGUGGGUUUCUUUGAGUUCAGGAUGGCAAAUCACUCAAGACCACGUACAGCCCGGGCUGCAAUGCUGGCGACCUCUGAUGAGCCCCCUGCUCAAAUUAAUCAUCCUGCUCGGAGCAGACAAGGAGCAAUGAAAUGGGCUGUGGGAGAUGCACUUAGCUCAAACGAGUGUGAGUGACACAUGGGGCCCAGGCAUCUCCUCAGCGUUGCUUGUGUGGUUUGUCUUUGGAGGUAAAGCAGAGCCGUGUGGCUAAUUAAAUGGAAACAUAAUCUCCUGACCUUUUUUGGGUUUCUCAGCUAAUCCCGAUUCAGCCCUUGCAAUGCCUUUCAGAUUUAAGGCAAGGGCACGGCUCCCCAGGGAAAACCAAACCACGGGGAGGAGAAAGGCAGCUCUCCUUGGGAUGCUGCCCACAGCCUUUGGCAGAUUUUGGGGUCCGCCCUUCCCCAACAAGGACGGACCCAGGAGGGCCCAUAGGGUCCGAGCCGUGGUGCUGGGCUGGAGAGGGGGCAGGCACCCCCCGCAUCCCCCUGCGGCUCGGCUCUCCCCAGAGGGCAUUGCAGAGAAGGGAAAGAAGUGAGCGGAGAGACUCAGAUUACAAAUGUACAAGCAUAGGAAGCAGAGAUAUAUAUUCCCUGGAUAUUAAUUGCCUCUAAAAUGUUGUCUUUCUUCCGGUAAGCGGGUACUUCAGGCAACUGGAUAUAUGAUGGAAAGGAGACUGUGUCCGGUGGUGGGAGGACAGACACGGUGAGAGGCAGCUGGACACCCCUGAAGGGCUGGGGGCUGUGUGUGGCUGGUGGCCAGCCCAUCGCUAGAGCAUCCCAACGGCCCUUCGACGUGCUUGUCACCCACCCUGUCCCCAACGGGGACACUGCCCUCAGACACUGCCCUCUGCUAUGAUUGUGAAGACUAGUCUGGCUUGGGACUCGUCCCUUGCUGGGCACACUCGGUUUGAGAGCUUAGUUCAGAAGGAAAACCCUGCCAAGCUUGGAAACUCUUGGGUUUAAACAAGAAUAUGUCCCAAAAAAGUGCCAUAGAGCAUCGUGGUCUGUUCUCAACCAGGGAAGGGGCACCAUAUAUCCCAGCACGCAGGGGCAAGGGGCAGUGGCUGGACAGCAGGAUGCUGCUGGGAAUAGCCACCACGAUGUAAGUGGAGAUGUCCGUCACAUCAUCAGCCUGUGAAACUUAAAUACAAGGAGUCACUGAGGAAGAUAUUUUGGGGACUACAUUGAAAAUAAGGGUUAAGGUUUCUUUUUUCCUGUGGUUUGGAGUGAUGUCUCUGCGCAGACAUUGCUGCAAGGCUCAGAUACCCUCAACUGGGCUCUGGGAUCAAAGCUGCAGUUUGGGGGAGGAGGGCUUAAUAUGGCAUAAAAUUGCUUCUGCAGAGGGCUAACGUGCCAGCCGGUUCCAGGCAAGGCUGGCCCAGCUGCUGCUGCUGUUAGGAGGAGCAGGAGGAGGCAGACCCCAGCGUGCGAGGGCUCUCCCACCAAUACUUUAGUACAGAGUGACAGGAAAACCAGCAACGCGCCUUCCCAAAAUGUCAAAGCCUUUUGUUCCACUGUUUUCUAAGCAAAACGCUGCAAAUGUUGGCCUUGAACUGACUUUUGGUCACGAAAUUACCUCUCCUCAAUUAAAUAUUAAAACCAAACAGAAAGUCCUGAGUGUGGAAUGAAUUGUUUCACUCCAACUAUGGGGAUUAUUUUCUUUUUUACUUCAGUGGAAAAACUGAAAACCCAGUGUCACAUUGGCUCACCCUGAAAUGAAUUUUUAUUCUGGCUUCCUAUCAUUAAACGUCAGCAAAUGAAGAAAAGCAAUUAUUUGAAGAGCAUUUUUUGACAUGAAAAGACGUCUCCCCAUCACCACCUCUGCUGGGAUUUAGGUAGUUAUUUCUUUAUGCUGGGUCUAGGGAAGACUCAUGCAUAAUGCUAGACCAUAGUUGGGCUCCUGCUACCCCUGUAGAGAGCCUGCGGCAGGUUCCCCAUGGAUGCCAGUCUCUUGGU